GUGGCGGAUACUGGGACGAUAGCAGGCAUCGCUAGUGCCCUAGCCAUGGCGCUGAUUGGAGCUGUAUCCAGCUAUAUUUCCUAUCAACAAAAGAAAUUCUGCUUUAGCAUACAACAGGGUCUGAACACGGAGUAUGUGAAGGGAGAAAACCUGGAAGGUGUUGUGUCUGAAGAACCUAAGGUUCAGUAUUCAGCCCCACAGUCUGCAGCACCAUCUUCAAGAAACCCUGAAAUCUGAAGCUCAAGGGCAAGAAGAAAGAAAUCAGCCAACUGCAGAUGUAUGCCCAAAUGUCUCAAAACGCUUGUAAUUCAGCUUGUAUUUCUUUUGGAUACAAAAUUGUUGUACAUAUUCAGCCUUAACUGGCUCCUCCUUGCUGUAAGCUGAGCUUUAUGAAUGUGGUGUCAAUUUUUGAAAAGCUGUUUGUUUACAUUGGACUGAAAAUGCAAUAUGUCUGGUGUCUACCAGAGGUGCUGUGAAUUGACGUGAAGCUAACAGGACUGAUCAUCUCCUCCAAAGCAACCAGAAGAGAAAGUAACUUUCCAGGUACUAGGGAAGGUUUCAGGUGCACCUGCCCGUUGGAAGAUAGCCAAACCCUGCAAAUAAUUACUGUGAGAAAUGUUUGGAUUGAUGACAAGUGGAGUACCUGGCCUUAGCCGUGCCUUCCGAUGACAAAGAGUUCAGUUGUGCUUCGAGGUAUGGCUCUAGCCCCUGUGGCAUAGUUACAGAGUCAGUAUUUGUGUAGUUCUUAUCGGGCCGGAGAGCUUAAUGAUAUAAGAAAAUCGGAUUUCAGAGAUCUAAAAAGCAAAGUCAUUCUCGGCAGAAACCUGUUAAUUGUAAUGAUUCUUUUGUGAUCCCUCAAAAGUGGCUUUAUGCCCUCCUGAGCCCGACCAGGGGUGCUGAUAUGAAGGAAGGAUAAGCAUAUCCUGAGGUGAGUACUCUCUUAUUUUAAAGGAGGGCUCUGUGAUGUGUCCUCUUUUGUCCCAUUAAGUGUGAUAGGUGAAACAACCAUUUUUAUUUUAUUUAUUUAUAUUUUAACCACUUGUAAACUUCGCCUCUGAAGAGAACCUCUUUGGGACCCAUUUUGAUGUAAAAAAAAAAACACACCUAACUAGCCCAUUUUAGUGUUUGGCACACAAUUACAAUUUCCUAGAGAAACACAUUAGCUACAAAGGUUAAGUGGUAUGCAUUAUUUUAGCUUUUUUUGGCGGGGAGGGGGGGCAUUUGUAUUCUAAUCAUUUUAAUCAAAGGUAGCGAAUGAUGUGUUAACGACAACAAAAAAACCCUACCUACUUUGUCUUCCUUUUGGCUCUGAAAUGUUUACAGCUAAAGUUAGAGAUGAGGAGUCUUCUCAUUUUAGCUGAUUUUCUAGGCUGCCUCCUCCUCUUCCUUAAUAGAGGAAUGCUUGUUUAGGAGACCAUUAUAGUGUUGUUGCCUUCCGGCCCAGAUUCUCUCCCAUCUGUUCCUGCGCUGAGGAUAGUCUCUAGUUUCCUGCCGUUGUGUGGUAAUGUGCAGGGGAUCUGGUGUUCAAAGUACAUGCUCUUCCUCUACAAAUGGAAUACUGAAAAAAAUGUCACAGGACAUCAAAGGUACUACCCUAAUCACCAUCUUAAAGGAAGGUGAGAUCCUUGCCUGUGGAUUGCCAGCAUUAUUCUAUCUGGCCAGCCAGUCCUGUACCACCUGAAGUAAAAUGUGAAUUGAUCGUAUGUUCGUUCAGCUAAGUAAUCUGAAAGGGCCCCGUCUGAUCCGUAUCCUACCAACACGGGCGUAAAGUUCCAAACACUGCCCAACGCAGGGUUUUGCUGCCACGCAUGAGAAAUUUUGAGAUUAUCUGGCCAAAAAGAUCAGCAAAAGCACUGAGUCAGUGACCCAGGAAGUAGUAUGUGCUGGUGGCUGAGCUGUAGCACCACACACUCAGGAUGACAUGCACAUGAUUUAAGUUGCCUUCUAGAGUCAGCACACAACUAAGGAUGGAUAGCGAGCCUAAAGAAAAAAUAAGGUUAUGUACAAUCAACCAGAGAGUUAGUUAUCUGGUGCACUAAUAAAGAACAUUAGGCUUUUAACAUUUCUGCAAAUCAUUUUUUAAAACCAGCUUUUGCACCCCGCCCCCCAAAUGCCAUUUAAAAAAAAAUCCUGAGCAUUUUAACUGCAAAAAUGCACUUGGGUUGAUUUACAGUAAUCCAUACUACGCUUUGGUUGACUUAGUUCUGUUUGGUACAGUUGAAUGAUGAAAGAUUAUUAUUAAUGUCAUCAGCAGUACUACAACAGGCCUUUAUUUGGGAAUAUGUUAUCUGGUUCGGUUACUUUCAAAGAGAAGGAAUGUUUAUUUGGAAGAUUUACAGAAGAAAUCUGUAAAGUGUAGAAUUUACCUGGAUAUUUGUCAACUGUGGUCAGUUUGGGGAUUUCUUUUGUUAAUAAACUCCUAAUUUUUGCUCCAAAAUGGAACCCUCACUUGUAAACCAAGAUAUGAUCUUAGGUUUUGGAUUGCCUUGGGACUCUUGACACCCAGGUUUUGACAAGGUGGGCAUAACUGAGCUGUUGAGCUGUUUAGUCACAAUUUGUAUCAGAAAAAAGAAAAUUCAGUUUUGAGGUUUAAAGUGUAGAUUUUCACCUAAAUAUUUUUUAAAAACACACUGUUACAUAGCUUCUAAUGUAUAACUUCUUUAAACCAAAAAAAUGUACACCAUACUUAUGAUUAAUUUAAAUGUUAAUUUGGGUACUACUGCUUAUUUUUAAAGUUAGAAAGGUGAAAUAGAGUGUCAGGAACAAAAAAAAAACCUGGUACAAAGUAAAGAUAUGAACUCUGUGGUUAAACACAUAUAUAUUUGCAGUGGUGCUAUGGUUUGUCCAUUUAAAUUGCUUUUCUGUUAUUAGCCAAACCACGGAGUCCAAUGUACUGCCUGCCACAAAACAAAUUCAUACCUAUUAAGAAUAGGAAAUUUAAUCUCAUUAAAGGACAAUUUAAAAACCAGUCCAUCUGCAAUACUUUCAUAUGUAAUUUGCAUCUCAUGGUUUUCUAAAGCAGUGUCAUUAGGAAAAAUGUUAAGUGUUAAUACCCUUAGAUCCUAGACUAUGUAGUAAAGUUAAAUUACCCUCUUCCUCACAUUUACCAUUAAGAUUAAGAAAAUGACUGUGCUUCAAGAUUUAGACUUGAGAAAACCCAAUCUGAUUUGGAGCUUUUUUUUUUGAUGAAACUAUAAAGGCAGACAAUUUUUUUGUCUUCAGAGCAGACUCUGAUAAUUGUAGAAGUACUGAGUCUUUCUUCCUCCUCUCCACUUACCAAAAAAAAAGGUAGUAAUUUUUUUGUGGGGAGAAAAAAGGCAAGGCUUUCAGCCACAAAGCAAGGCUAACAGCUGAAAGUCUGUCGAAGUUGAAGUCCAGUCAUCUUUUACCAACAGCUCACCGGUUUCCCAGAGAGAGGUAAUUUAGAGCAAUGAGAGAGCUGUUGCAGGUUUGGGAAUGACACCCCAAAGACACAACUCUAGCUUUAAGAUGCUUAAGUACACACUCCUUGAAUAACUGGGGGCAAAUUCCUGGGUGUGUUUCACAGCUGUUAAAACUAACGUACCUAGCAGGUAAAGGAAUGACGGUGACUGAAUUCUGGACCACUGACCAGGCAUUAUUGAGUAAAGAUUAAAUAAUAUUGACGUUACAUUA